rnacentral:rRNA from 1 species
CCUACGGGGGGCAGCAGUGAGGAAUAUUGGUCAAUGGACGAGAGUCUGAACCAGCCAAGUAGCGUGAAGGAUGACUGCCCUAUGGGUUGUAAACUUCUUUUAUAUGGGAAUAAAAUGUUCCACGUGUGGGAUUUUGUAUGUACCAUAUGAAUAAGGAUCGGCUAACUCCGUGCCAGCAGCCGCGGUAAUACGGAGGAUCCGAGCGUUAUCCGGAUUUAUUGGGUUUAAAGGGAGCGUAGGUGGAUUGUUAAGUCAGUUGUGAAAGUUUGCGGCACAACCGUAAAAUUGCAGUUGAAACUGGCAGUCUUGAGUACAGUAGAGGUGGGCGGAAUUCGUGGUGUAGCGGUGAAAUGCUUAGAUAUCACGAAGAACUCCGAUUGCGAAGGCAGUUCACUGGACUGCAACUGACACUGAGGCUCGAAAGUGUGGGUAUCAAACAGGAUUAGAUACCCGGGUAGUC